rnacentral:rRNA from 1 species
UGGGUAACCUGCCUCAAAGAGGGGAAUAGCCUCCCGAAAGGGAGAUUAAUACCGCAUAAUAUGUUUAAGUCGCAUGACUUUAACAUCAAAGGAUUUUCUUCGGAACUUCCACUUUGAGAUGGACCCGCGGCGCAUUAGCUAGUUGGUGAGGUAACGGCUCACCAAGGCAACGAUGCGUAGCCGACCUGAGAGGGUGAUCGGCCACAUUGGAACUGAGACACGGUCCAGACUCCGUAGGGAGG